AUGACCGGAAGACCGCAGGAGACUUCUCUGCCGCCUCCACACACCUCCGGUGACCUCCCGAGGCAGGGCCUUGGCAAGUCCCUCGAUGCCCCUUCAGAUUCAUCAAGACCGGCAAGUUCGACUUGGGCGCCAAGUUCGUCUUCAAAUCAGUACGACUACACCCGAUGUGGAUUUCGGCCAGUACCUGGAGGCCACAACGACGCCAAGUACCACAACAUCGAUGACCACAUAGACCACCAAGACCGGAUUCGGCAAGUACCCUUCAGAUUCGUCAAGACUCUCAUGUACCACUACAACCGAUGA
rnacentral:rRNA from 1 species